AGGACAGGGAGAGGUGGUAGUUGAUGACAGUUACUACUCCACCAUUGUAACUGGUAUAGUUACAAAUGAAUAUGUAUAGCUGCUGUGGUGGUGCAUGACUGUAAUUCCAGCAUCUCAAAAGCUGAGCAAGGAGAAUCACAAGUUCAAGGCCAGCCAGGGGAAUUUAGUGAACUGUCUCAAAAUAAAAAGGGUGGGGAUGUAUCUCAAGGGUAAAGCAGCCCUGGGUCCUAUCCCCUGGAAAAAUUAAAAACAAAAAUCUUUUAUAUGUGCCUUAAAAAAGACUUUAUAGAGUUGAACAUGAUGGUGGUAAUCCCAUUGACUCACAUGGUAAUCCCCAUGACUCAGGAGGCUGAGGCAAGAGUAUCACAACAAUUUAGCAAGCCCUAGCAAUUUAGGGAGACUCUGUCUCAAAAUAAAAAUAAAAAGGGAUUGGGAUGUGGCCCAGUGGGUAAGAAUCUCUGGGCUGAAGCCCCAGUACUGAAAAGAAAAAGCUUUAAAGACUUUGCCCAUUCAGAGUUUCAAGUUUAAGAGAAUGAUGAAAUCUCUUAAUUAGAAGAUCAAAUGUUUUACCAUCAGUUUUUAAAAAAUCAGUUACUAUUGCUGCAUUAACAAAGCAGCCGGAUGGGAGCAAAUCUUUACCCCUCAAAUAUCAGAUAGAGGACUAAUCUCUAGGGUAUAUAAAGAACUCAAAAAGCUAAGCACCAAAAUAAAC
rnacentral:lncRNA from 1 species